UACGUAGGGUGCAAGCGUUGUCCGGAAUUAUUGGGCGUAAAGAGCUCGUAGGCGGUCUGUCGCGUCGAAUGUGAAAACCCGGGGCUCAACCCCGGGCCUGCAUUCGAUACGGGCAGACUAGAGUUCGGUAGGGGAGUCUGGAAUUCCUGGUGUAGCGGUGAAAUGCGCAGAUAUCAGGAGGAACACCAGUGGCGAAGGCGCCACUCUGGGCCGUAACUGACGCUGAGGAGCGAAAGCGUGGGUAGCAAACAGG
rnacentral:rRNA from 1 species